CGGGGGGGUCCCGCAAGGGCGAGGGCAUUUAUGAUUCCGAAGUCCCUGGAAGUCACACCAAGAAAAGCCGAUGCUGGACAAUGGCGUGCCCGUACUAAAACUGACACAGGUAGGCGAGAAGAAGAUUCUAAGGCGCUCGAGAAAACGCUGGUGAAGGAACUCGGCAAAUUGACCCCGUAACUUCGGGAUAAGGGGUGCCCUUUGUGGUGUUAAAGCCACGGGGGGCCGCAGUGAAAUGGGUCUAGCGACUGUUUACCAAAAACACAGGACGCUGCGAACUCGUAAGAGGAUGUAUAGCGUCUGACGCCUGCCCGGUGUCGGUAAGUUAAGGAAGAGGGUUAUCUCGCAAGAGAGAAGCUCGCAACCGAAGCUCCGAUAAACGGCGGCCGUAACUAUGACGGUCCUAAGGUAGCGAAAUUCCUUGUCGGGUAAGUUCCGACCUGCAUGAAUGGCGUAACGACUGGACCACUGUCUCCACCAGCGACUCGGUGAAACUGUAGUAGUCGUGAAGAUGCGACUUACCCGCAGCUAGACGGAAAGACCCCGUGAACCUUAACUGUAGGAUAGUAUUGGGCUUAGGCCCAGCAUGCGUAGUGUAGCUGGGAGGCUUUGAAGGGUGCGUCUCGGCGCAUCCGGAGCCGACAAUUGAAACACCAGCCUUGUUGUGCUUGAGUUCUAACCCCGUCCCGUAUAUCCGGGCGGAGGACAGUGCUAUCUGGGCAGUUUGACUGGGGCGGUCUCCUCCCAAAGAGUAACGGAGGAGCGCAAUGGUACCCUCAGCCCGGUUGGCAAUCGGGCAUCGAGCGUAAACGUAGAAGGGUGCUUGACUGCGAGUCCGAUAGGACGAGCAGGGACGAAAGUCGGCGUUAGUGAUCCGGCGGUGCCGGAUGGAAGGACCGUCGCUCAACAGAUAAAAGGUACUCCGGGGAUAACAGGCUUAUCUCCUCUGAGCGUUCAUAGCGGCGAGGAGGUUUGGCACCUGAUGUCGGCUCAUCGCAUCCUGGGGGUGGAGAAGCUCCCAAGGGUUUGGCUGUUCGCCAAUGAAAGCGGUACGUGAGCUGGGUUCAGACCGUCGUGAGACAGGUCGGUCCCUAUCUGCUGUGGGCGGAGGAAGUUUGAGGGGUUUUCUCCCUAGUACGAGAGGAUUGGGAGGGACGUACCUCUGGUGUUCCAGUUGUCGCGCUAGCGGCAGCGCUGGGUAGCUACGUACGGUCAGGAUAAACGCUGAAGGCAUCUAAGCGUGAAACCUUCCCCAAGAUCAGACUUCCAGCCCCUUGCGGGCGUAGGCUCCUUGUAGACCACAAGGUCGAUAGGCCGGGUGUGUAAGGCGGGCAACCGCUUAAGCUAACCGGUACUAACAGCCAAUUGCUUGACCGC
rnacentral:rRNA from 1 species